rnacentral:rRNA from 1 species
CGCAGCCGCGGUAAUUCCAGCUCCAAUAGCGUAUAUUAAAGUUGCUGCAGUUAAAAAAGCUCGUAGUUGAAUUUCGGGACCAUCAUGUCGGUCGUGCCUCGGUACGUACUGGCAUUGUUGGUUUCUCCCUUCUGAAGAACCUCGAUGUCAUUAAUUUGGUGUCGUGGGGAAUCAGGACUGUUACUUUGAAAAAAAUUAGAGUGUUUAAAGCAGGCAUACGCUUGAAUACAUUAGCAUGGAAUAAUGAAAUAGGACGUUUGAUUCUAUUUUGUUGGUUUCUAGGAUCGACGUAAUGAUUAAUAGGGAUAGUUGGGGGGCAUUAGUAUUCAAUUGUCAGAGGUGAAAUUCUUGGAUUUAUUGAAGACUAACUACUGCGAAAGCAUUUGCCAAGGAUGUUUUCAUUAAUCAAGAACGAAAGUUAGGGGAUCGAAGACGAUCAGAUACCGUCGUAGUCUUAACCAUAAACUAUGCCGACUAGGGAUCGGAUGAUGUUAAUUUUUAAUGACUCAUUCGGCGCCUU